UACGUAGGCAGCGAGCGUUGUUCGGAGUUACUGGGCGUAAAGCGUGCGUAGGCGGUUUUGUAAGUUUGGUGUGAAAUCUCCCGGCUCAACUGGGAGGGUGCGCCGAAAACUGCAAGGCUGGAGUGUGGGAGAGGUAGGCGGAAUUCCUGGUGUAGCGGUGAAAUGCGUAGAUAUCAGGAGGACACCUGUGGUGUAGACGGCUUACUGGACCAUGACUGACGCUGAGGCACGAAAGCGUGGGGAGCAAACAGG
rnacentral:rRNA from 1 species